rnacentral:rRNA from 1 species
GACGAACGCUGGCGGCGUGCUUAACACAUGCAAGUCGAACGGACAGGCCCUGCUUUUGUUGGUUGCUCGAUUGGCGCGCGGGUGAGUAACACGUGAGUAACCUGCCCUUGUCUUUGGGAUAACUUCAGGAAACUGGGGCUAAUAUCGGAUAGGAGCUCCUGCUGCACGGUGGGGGUUGGAAAGUUUCGGCUGUUCGGGAUGGACUCGCGGCUUAUCAGCUUGUUGGUGGGGUAGUGGCUUACCAAGGUUUCGACGGGUAGCCGGCCUGAGAGGGUGACCGGCGACAUUGGGACUAAGAUACGGACCAGAAUCGUACGGGAGGCAGUAGUGGAGAAUAUUGCACAAUGGGCGGAAGCCUGAUGCAGCAGCGCCGGGUGCGGGAUGACGGCUUUCGGGGUGUAAACCGCUUUGGCCUGUGACGAAGCGGGAGUGACGGUAAUGGGUAAAGAAGCACCGGCUAACUACGUG